UACGGGGGGAGCAAGCGUUGUUCGGAUUUACUGGGCGUAAAGGGCGCGUAGGCGGCCAGCGCAAGUCAGUUGUGAAAUCUCCGGGCUUAACUCGGAACGGUCAACUGAUACUGCGCGGCUAGAGUGCAGAAGGGGCAACUGGAAUUCUCGGUGUAGCGGUGAAAUGCGUAGAUAUCGAGAGGAACACCUGCGGCGAAGGCGGGUUGCUGGGCUGACACUGACGCUGAAGCGCGAAAGCUAGGGGAGCGAACGGG
rnacentral:rRNA from 1 species